GGCUUGAGAGCUUCAUCCAGGCCCGCAGAGGCCCUGCCUCCUGAGUGCAGGACUCAUGUCUGAGCCUCGCUUCACUCAUCUACUAAUGUGGGCCUCCCAGGUUUGCCAACAGGUCCCAGCUCAGCAAAGGCUCCUGGAUCUCCCCAGAUAGGCUUUCAGCUACUACUCCAGUGCCAAUUUGCCUGCUUUCUGCCAUGCUCCCAGCCUUGAUGAUCACGGACUCAGCCUCUGAAAUUAUAUAUUUCUUCUGCCCAGACUCAGAGAAGCCCAGGACUUCCACCCAACGUGGCUGCCCCAAAGAAGGAAUGAACUUCUGUAGAGCUGUGGUCCGAACUGUGAGCAACAAGAA